GGUCCCCGCCCGGCGUGCUGACGUCACGGCGCUGCCCCAGGGUGUGCUGGGCAGGUCGCGGGGAGCGCUGGGAAAUGGAGUCCAUUAGCGGAAGUUGCCCUUGGCCACUUCCAGGAGUCGCUGUGCCCCGAUGCACACUGGGAAGUCCGCAGCUCCUAGGCGCCCAGUGGAAAUCGCCAGAUGAGGGCCUCCUCCGGGGAAUGCUGGGAAAUGGAGUCUACAGGCAGGAGGGGUGCCCCCCCGGCAUACUAGGAAGUAUAUAGCACCGGGUAAAGGGGAUGAAUAGCAGGCUGCCCCGGGGCAGGACAGAAGAGUCAAUUUUAUACUUUUGUGGAUGUUCUAACUUCACCUGCUUAUCUGAACCAUCUUUAUGGUGCAGACUAAUAUCUAUUUUUCUGCUGUUACAGAAGAAGUGGGAACAUUUUCUUCUUAUCUUUCUGAGGUUAUUUACACCAGUGAGGAGGGCCUGCAGUUCCAAGGUUAAGCACCAACAUUCCACUGUUAUCAUUGAGAGCAAACAGCAGGCCCUAGAAGUGAAAACAAAACCUUUACCACAGAAAGACAAGAGCAAAAGAUGAUGUUCUUGAGUGGCAUAUGAAGAUGCUCACAGCCAACAUCACAUGCCUAUCAGAUAUUUUAUGUACAUCAUCUCAUCAACUCCAGGAGGCAGAGACUAAGAGACUAGCCCCAGUCACAGAGCUAGAAAUUGGCCAAGACAAGGUUCAAUCUGAGGACUGUCAAAUCCAGAACUGGAAUUUCUUUUUUUUUUUUUUUGAGAUGGAGUCUCGCUCUGUCACCCAGGCUGGAGUGCAGUGGCAUGAUCUCAGCUCACUGCAACCUCCACCUCCUGGGUUCAAGCGAUUCUCUUGGGACUACAGGUGCACGCCACCACGCCUGGCUAAUUCUUGUAUUUUUAGUAGAGACGGGGUUUCACCAUGUUGGCCAGGAUAGUCUCAAACUCCUGACCUCAUGAUCUGCCCGCCUUGGCCUCCCAAAGUGCUGGGAUUACAGGCAUGAGCCACUGCACCUGGCCUUAGAAGCCUCAGUUCCUGAUGGCAGUUGGGAUCUGCCUUUCCUUCCCUGGACUGCCUACCUCUUGUCUUUUAGGUUACAUAUAAGAAAACAAACCUCCAAUUCACCAAAACUAUUGUUAUUUGGGGAGCUGUCUCUUACUAUCAGCCAAACAUAACUCCUCAAUGACAUUGUUAGUUUAGCACUGCCAUUAUAAUCAGGAGGGAUCUGGGUCCAGCUGUGGGAACAUGAAGAGGCACUGGUGGGAUGACCACAGCCAGCCCCUGUUGAUUCACCAGGAGACUGCAGAUGCAUGAGGAAGUCCAGCCAAGAUCAGCCAGACAAGAACUCCCAGCGGAGCCCAGCCCAAUUUGCCAACUCUCAAACUAUAAUUUUUUUUUUUUUUUUUUGAGACGGAGUCUCGCUCUGUCUCCCAGGCUGGAGUGCAGUGGCGCGAUCUCCCCUCACUGCAAGCUCCACCUCCUGGGUUCACGCCAUUCUCCUGCCUCAGCCUCCCGAGUAGCUGGGACUACAGACGCCUGCCACCACACCCGGCUAAUUUUUUUGUAUUUUUAGUAGAGAUGGGGUUUCACUGUGUUAGCCAGGAUGGUCUCAAUCUCCUGACCUCAUGAUCCGCCCGCCUUGGCCUCCCAAAGUGCUGGGAUUACAGGCAUGAGCCACCGCGCCCAGCCCUCAAACCAUAAGUUAAACAGAUGACUGCUGACUCAAGCCACUAAUAUUUGGGGUAACUUUUUUCUUUUUUCUUUGCUUUUUUUUUUUGAGACCAAGUCCCACUCUGUCAUCCAAGCUGGAAUGCAGUGGCAUGACCUCGGCUCACUGCAACCUCCACCUCUGAGGUUCAAGUGAUUCUCCUGCCUCAGCCUCCUAAGUAACUGGAAUUACAGGCACCAGCCACCAUGCCUGGCUACUUUUUGUGUGUUUUCAGUAGAGAUGGGGUUUCACUAUGUUGACGAGGCUGGUCUUGAACUCCUGGCCUCAAGUGAUCCACCUGCCUCAGCCUCCCAAAGUGCUGGGAUUACAGGCAGGGGUGAGCCACUGCGCCCACCUGGGGUAACUUUUUAUGCCACAAAAGCAAAUUGAUGCAGGCAUUCCAAGAGGCCUUUGAGCCUCUUGCAAGUCAAGCUGAUUGCAAGACACUCUGCCUUUGAUAAAAUGUAGUGGACAGAGAAGCAGUGGUUUCAGUGGCAGAGAUGACAAAUUGUUGCCCAAUAUUCGUUGUCCCCUUCUUUCUCAACAUAAUGGAACCUCUGAUUUAUGCUGGGUUUAGCAUAGCCAUCUAGAAUAAUGGUUACAUUUCCCAGUGUCGGGCCUCCGAGCCCAAGCUAAGCCAUCAUAUCCCCUGUGACCUGCACAUAUACAUGAAGAUGGCCUGAAGCAACUGAAGAUCCAAAAAAGAAGUGAAAAUAGUCUUACCUGAUGACAUUCUACCAUUGUGAUUUGUUCCCGCCCCACCCUAACUGAUACGAUAUAUUCUGCCUGGUCCUUAAGAAGGUACUUUGUAAUAUUCUCCCCCGCCUUUAAGAAGGUACUUUGUAAUAUUCUCCCUGCCCUUGAGAAUGUACUUUGUACGCCCAUCCCAAACCUAUAAGAACUAAUGAUAAUCCCACCUUUGCUGACUCUGUUUUCGGACUCAGCCCACCUGCACCCAGGUGAAAUAAAUCGCCUUUUUGCUCACACAAA